rnacentral:piRNA from 1 species
UGAAUCUGUAGAUUGUUGUUGGCAA